CCUACGGGUGGCAGCAGUGAGGAAUCUUGGUCAAUGGGCGCAAGCCUGAACCAGCCAAGUCGCGUGAGGGAAGACGGCCCUACGGGUUGUAAACCUCUUUUGCCGGGGAGCACGCCUGAGCACGUGUGCCCAGGCGGCGAGUACCCGGAGAAACAGCAUCGGCAAACUCCGUGCCGGCAGCCGCGGUCAUACGUAGGAUGCGAGCGUUAUCUGGAUUUAUUGGGUUAAAAGGGUGCGCAGGCGGGCUGUUAAGCCGGCGGUAAAAAUUCAGGGCUCAACCCUGUCGGGCCGUCGGAACUGGCAGUCUUGAGUGGGCGAGAAGUAUGCGGAAUGCGUGGUGUAGCGGUGAAAUGCAUAGAGAUCAGGCAGAACGCCGAUUGCGAAGGCAGCAUACCGGCGCCCGACUGACGCUGAGGCACGAAAGCGUGGGGAUCGAACAGGAUUAGAUACCCGAGUAGUC
rnacentral:rRNA from 1 species